CUAAAAAUAGAACUACGAUAUGACUCAGCAAUCCCACUACUGGGCAUAUACACCGAGAAAGCUGUAAUUCAAAAAGACACGUGUACCCCAGUGUUCACUGCAGCGCUAUUUACAAUAGCCAGGACAUGGAAGCAACCUAGGUGUCCAUCGACAGAUGCAUGGAUAAAGAAGAUGUGGUACAUAUAUAUACAAUGGAAUUUUACUCAGCUGUAAAGAGGAAUGAAAUUGGAUCACUUGCAGUGAUGUGGAUGUACCUAGAGUCUGUCAUACAGAGGAAAGGUCGUGUCCCCAGCCUCCUGUCCAUUGGUGGGCAGGUGAGAAAGAGAAUGAGAAAGGUGUUAACCGGCCCAGCCUGGAAAUGCCAUACAUCCCCUGCCCACAAACCAUUAUCUGGAGUUCCGUCUUACAGCUGCAUCUGACGAGUCAGAUGGCCGAGAUGGUUGUGCCGAUGAUGUCAUUAAAGUGGUGGCGUGUCUGCUGUUGUAGAUCUCGUCACUGAUGGACACACUCAGGUUGUCUCUCUGGGGCAAGGUCAGCACGAGUUUUGCAAUGGGUAACAGGAAUCCUGACGGACAGUGGUUUAAACCAUUAAGGAGAUUUUCAUUUUACUUCAUGAAAAGCCCGUCAGCUGGCAGUCCCUGCUUUAGUUUGGAAGCUUACCAGCAUCAUCCAGGAUCCAGGGACUUUCCACCCUGUUUUUCCACUUGGCCCUCAGGGUCAGGGUCAUAAGACGGUUUCUACCAAGGAGGCGGAGGCGAGCAUCGCAGCCCCUCCCAGCCUGUCACGAGAAGGAAGGUGGCGUGGGGUGGGGGUGGAGAGGGGAAACGGACACUUUUUCUCCUCAGACACGUCUCUCUUGUCAGAAGGCAAAGUCUUUCUCAGAAGCCCCAGAAGACAUCCUCUGGUCCUGGCCAGAACUGGUCAACUGGCCACGUCUGCCUGCGAGAAGACCGGGUGUCACUGUUUUAUAAAGACCACAGUGCCCACAACUGACGGGGUUCUUAGCAGGGGCACCUGCUCCUCUGGAGGUACUGGAAACAGAGAAGGGGCACUUUUGGUCGUCACAGAAAAAAAAAGAGGUGCUACUGGCAUGUUGUGGAUUAGUUUAAGGAUGCUAAAUGUUCUAAAAUGCACAGAACCCUUCUACACACAAAACAAGAUUUGUCUUACUCAAAAUACCAAGAGCAGUGCUAUUAAGAAACACUGGGCUCAAACCAACGAUCAUUCACCCCAUGGGCUGAAGGUAUCACGACUCGAACACAAUCUGGGGGCCAAGAGCAAGAAGGAGAACACGGCUCCCAGCAGAGGUGCCCUGGUACCCCGGUGGGGGUCGGGAGGAGGGUGCGUAAUCGUGCUGGCACGUUGAGUCCUUUUCAGAAAGUACUGUUACUUACAACGAAUGGAGAGCAAGACAGGGAAAUCAACUCCAAGGGCUGCCUUUAUUUUUCCUAAUGAAGAGAUUUCCCCGUGAUUGGACAAGCCUGUUUCCAGGAACAAGUGAGUCUGAGUUCCCCCCGCCUCUACUAUCUCUGCUCCUUGCUCCCACCAAGGAUUGACAAUGACUAAAACCCAACUGUAUAGCCACUAUUUCAAAGAUAAACAUCUCCUUUGAAGACUGUGUACCCAGUUCAAUAGUGGCAGGUAUCUAAUAAAUAUUUCUUGGGUAUAUGACAAAAUAAAGUGAAAGUGUUAGUCGCUCAGUCAUGUCCAAUUCUUUGCGACCCUGUGGACUGUAGCCCACCAGGCCCGUCUGUCCAUGAAAUUCUCCAGCAAGGAUACUGGAGUGGGUUGCCAUUUCUUUCUGCAGGGGAUCUUCCCAACCCAGGGAUCAGAACCUGGACCUCCUGUAUUGCAGGCAGAUUCUUUACCAUCUAAGCCACUAGGGAAGCCCUAUAUGACAAAUAUGUUGAUUCAAAUCAAUACAAGGAAGCAAAUCCCGGAAAAACAUUCCACAUUAUGUUCAAGGAGAUAGAUACGGUGAAAUAGAAUUUGAAAAAUUGUACUAGUAAAGUAAAGUAAUGCUCAAAAUUCUCCAAGCCAGGCUUCAGCAAUAUGUGAACCGUGAACUUCCUGAUGUUCAAGCUGGUUUUAGAAAAGGCAGAGGAACCAGAGAACAAAUUGCCAACAUCCACUGGGUCAUGGAAAAAGCAAGAGAGUUCCAGAAAAACAUCUAUUUCUGCUUCAUUGACUAUGCCAAAGCCUUUGACUGUGUGGAUCACAAUAAACUGUGGAAAAUUCUGAAAGAGAUGGGAAUACCAGAGCACCUGACCUGCCUCUUGAGAAAUCUGUAUGCAGGUCAGGAAGCAACAGUUAGAACUGGACAUGGAACAACAGACUGGUUCCAAAUAGGAAAAGGAGUACGUCAAGGCUGUAUGUUGUCACCCUGCUUAUUUAACUUCUAUGCAGAGUACAUCAUGAGAAAUGCUGUACUGGAA
ensembl:lncRNA